GACGAACGCUGGCGGCGUGCUUAACACAUGCAAGUCGUACGGUAAGGCCCUUUCGGGGGUCCACGAGUGGCGAACGGGUGAGUAACACGUGAGUAACCUGCCCACAACUUUGGGAUAACGCUAGGAAACUGGUGCUAAUACUGGAUAUGUGCUCCUGCUGCAUGGUGGGGGUUGGAAAGCUCCGGCGGUUGUGGAUGGACUCGCGGCCUAUCAGCUUGUUGGUGGGUAGUGGCCUACCAAGGCGGCGACGGGUAGCCGGCCUGAGAGGGUGACCGGCCACAUUGGGACUGAGAUACGGCCCAGACUCCUACGGGAGGCAGCAGUGGGGAAUAUUGCACAAUGGGCGCAAGCCUGAUGCAGCAACGCCGCGUGCGGGAUGACGGCCUUCGGGUUGUAAACCGCUUUCAGCAGGGACGAAGCUUUUUGUGACGGUACCUGCAGAAGAAGCACCGGCUAACUACGUG
rnacentral:rRNA from 1 species